rnacentral:sRNA from 1 species
AAUACUUUUUUUUUCCUCCUCUCUCUGAAGUUGGAAGAGGAGAAGGUAUGCUACAAUGGUGUCGACACGGUUAGCUUUAUCUCUAUAUAUAACGGAAGAAGAAGAAGAAGAAGCAGAGGCAAUGGCAUCUCUACUCUGUAGACAGCAUUGGAAUCUCAAUUACAUUUAAGUAAUGUGCUGCUGCAACGGAUGCCACCCAUCUCCUCGACAAGCUGAUGAAUUUUAUGUUUGUUAAUCAAGUGUGUGUAACAGUGCAAGUGGCAUGUCUAGCUCAUCUUGUGUCUAUCAUGUCCUGGCUAUUGGCAGCAAACUCAUUGCACGAGCAUGUAGUUUAAAUUUAGAUCCAGAUCCAGAUCAUGGGAUUGAUGAGCUUGCCACGAAAGAGAACAAGAGCUGUUCCUUUGCUCGGCCAAGCAACAGUUGACUUCACCUCCAUGAUGUGUUCUUAUCUGGUACGUUCUUCGUGCAGCAUCACAUCGCUGGCCUGCCUUCUGCACUCACAGCAUUCAGCAUCUGCUGCAAUCUCAAGAUGAUUCCACGUGCUGUCCAAAUUUCUGAUGCAUUAGGCCUAACUGAGUCACAUUGUCAUGUUCCAGUUAUUGGCAGCAGGAAUCAGCAUGGCAGCUUAUUCUAUUACUGAGCCUUGUCAUACGUGUAUGCUCCAGCACCCAUUUAAUGGAGAUUGCUAAUCAACUAGUAUUGGUGCCAUGUGUGCUAUUGCAUCUGAUUGCUGAGCAAUUUAUCAACAACUAUUUAGUUAUAUGGGGAGCAAAGGAUCUUGUGCCUGUUCCUGUCUCAUGUGAAUACUGGUGACAUGACCAUCCCAUGGCUUUACGAAGGCAAGGUGAAGCGCUCCAAAUGUCCGGUGAUUGUUUGAGAGCAGUAUGCGUCAAGUGAAGGGGGAAAUUAGAGGCAAAAGAGUGAAAUAUUCAUUGAAUGAACUCCUGUACAUUUCCUCAUGUAUGAUGUAGGUGAACAUACAAAAUUGUUUUGGUGAUCAACAAAUCCUCUAAUAGGCGGACGCCAAUCACAGGUGUCAGAGUUGGGAAUGUUCCAUCAUUCUAUCUACAUGCUGAGAGCGUUUAGAAGAGAAACUCUGCUCUGGAUCGAUUUUCUGAACAGAUUCUCGAUUCCGCUCUCAAGAUCAACAAUGUCCAACUCCAACGCCUGCAAUUGCUCCUCCUCGCAGAUAAUUCUUCUCUUUUGGAAUGUCUUGGAGACGAGAGACCACUUGCUAUAACUCGGCAUCACAGUUUGCUUCGAGAGGAGAUGUGAUGAGAUUUCAAGCAUUGAGAAGGCUGUCUCUCUUGCUUCAGCCAACAGCUUGACCACCCUGCAGCUCUCCUGAUCAGGUGACAGAGUCUUCUUGCUAAUCUUCUUGUACUGUUUCUGCGCCUUCUUGGCAAGGCGGAUGCAUGAUGGAAUAUUGGCUUGAACAGCUGCGUCUUCUCCUCUCUUGAUAACCAACAUCAUGUCUUGGAUGCUUGCCUUGAGCUCAGAAAAGUUCUGUUGCAUAGCCUUGCAGAGGUCAAGCAAGACGAGAGAGCACUCGAGCUCUUGCUCCACUGCUUUCCUGUUCUGUGACUGGCAAAGGAGAACUUGGCUGCUAGGCAUGCACAUGAUCUCGUCGAUGCUAUCAUAGAUGCUCUUAAGCCUCUUCAAGCCAUCGUUCAUCGUCCUGAUGGUUGAAGAAGGUGAGGAGAUUGUUGCCUUUAGGCUCUGCAGCUGUUCUUCGACAUUGGUUUCGCUGGACCGUGGGCUGGAUGGCGCACUCGCAGAUCUGAGAUGGAAUGCCAUUAUAUUUUUCUCUUGUUUUCUUUUCUCUGGAGAUGGAUAGGAAGAGAAAGGAAACUGUGCUGCAAUGGUGUCGACCUGGGCAUGGUUUGCCUGUAUAUAUAACGAAAGGAGCUCAAGCAAUGGCAUUUCUGAUUGUGUAGACAGCCAUGGAAUUGUUGUGCUGCUGCAACAGAAGCCACCCAACUCCUCGACAAGCUGAUGUUUUUUUUCAUGUAAGAGGCAUCUCUAGCUCAGCUAAUGAUUGUACCAUCAUGUCCCGAUUAUUGGCGGCAAACUCAGCUGCACGAGCGGGUUGCUUAGUGUUGAAUUCAAGUUCAAGAUGGUGAGACCAAUGAAGCAUGCAAUGAAAUGGGAGAAUCAAUCAUGCGGUUUCUGCACUAGCAUGUUACUCCUGCCUGCCGUGCUAAACUGCAAAAUGUUCUUAUCAGUUGUGAGUUGUCAUGCUGCAAAAUAAGGACACAUUGUGACAUUGUCAACCAUCUCUAACAAGUUGAUGCUUCAUGUCUUAGGUUGUGUUGGCAAAGUGGCAAACUCAUCUGCACGAGGGCGUGGUUGGUUCUUGCUUGUGUGAGAGGAUUCGUUGUUCUUAUAAAUGACAGCCUUGGUCCAUUGACAUUUCAGCCAUUAUAUAUCACUCUGUUGUCUUCACAGCAUUGCUGUCAUGUUUCAGUUGUAUGGUACAGCACAUUUCUCUGUUCAAGUGUUCAUUAUGGAUAUGAUCCACAUUUAGUGC